UGACAUUCAGUGAAGUACCAGGUUCAAAUAAUUAGAAGACUUUAAUUCAGGAUGAAGGGAAUAGGACAACUUCAUAUUUGGGGCUCCUGGAAGAUCAGAUGUGAAUACAGAUAUUAGAUCUGGAUCCGUGUGUACCGUGGGUCCCAUGGAGCAACCUCCAUAGUCAUUUCUCAGGCUCCUAAAUCAGGAGCUUCAAAGGUAACUCCUGGGGUGAUUUUUAGUGACUUUCCAUCAGUGUGGGUAUAAUUGACAUUGUCAAUUUUCCACUGGCUUCUUUGUAUAGUCUUCUGGUUUCCGGGUAUCCACUGGACUUGAGCUGACCCUAGACUGAUCUCAUGGCAUCUUUGGGGGACCUGAAUCAACAGCUUCCAGCUCAGAACAGGAAUCUGAAACAUAGCACCUACCUCUGAAGACACUAAACAAAAUGCACAAAAUGUCUAUUUGGACCAGAAGGAGCAUUUGAGACUGUCAGUGGCUGUCUUAAAGGGUUCAGAGAACUGAUGUGAUUCCCUCCUCUGCUAUAUUUCUGGAAAAGCAGUUCACCGACCAACUCUAACUAGAGGAAACUUGGGCUGACACUGAACAUUCACUUCGUGCUUUCCCAAAGCCUAAGGGAGCUUUGUGGAAGGGAGG
rnacentral:lncRNA from 1 species